AGAAAAUGUAAUAAUCCAGUGUAAUUGUUACAAAGCAGUUGAAAUUCGCUCUGGGAGAUAUAAUGUUUUUUGAAAUUUCAUUAUAAGUUUCUAUUUUAAAAAUAUUUUAGAUAAUACACACCUUACAUACUAAUGGGCUUCUAAAUUUUGCCACUUCUGGCUGAUGAUUAAGUAAACUUACAGUUGGUUUUAGUUCCCUUUUGUCAUCAAUCAAGCUAGCAUGCUUUAUUAAACCUCUCAUGCCCACUUAUCCAGACAUUUAAAGUCUUCGUGCUGGGGUCUGGAGCCGAGUACACUUGAUGGAUUAGGACAGACGUGUAGAAUGAUGGAGAGGAUAAGGGAGGCAGGGUUAUAUUUGGCCUGUCUAAACGAGCUUCAGUUGGGUGAGAGGAGAUGUGGAUUGCCCUCUGUGCCGAUUUGUCGUUCCAAUGUGGGGUGGUGGCGUCUCUCCAGGUCUCCGUUAUGUGCCACUGACUGCGGUAAUGAGAGUCGUUUAUAUUGUCAUUUGUUUACAAGGCUUGCAGUGACCAUGUCUGCCACUGCCAGACACGGACCAGAAGGAGACGUUAAUAUGAGGAUGCGGUUAUGUUGAGUCUGUGGCCGUGUCAUUAAAAAUGGACUCGCUUAACAAAGACAGAACAAUCCCCUUGGAAUGACCUGAGUACAAGUGUCUGGACCAACAAACUUGUUUCAUUUCAAUUCAGGAGCCACACCCCACAGGAAAUUGAAUUGGAAUGACAGGAAGAGAAAUGUAUUCAACUGCAAGUCAACAUUCAGCACAGAGUCGAGGGCCAGCUCGCUGCGGCAGUUAUCAGAGCGAUUGUCCUCCCGUCCAAGUCUCCAGCAGCGCCUUCAGGCAUCUGGCCGUGUCGUCCCCGUGUCCUCACAAAUACCCUUCUACAACACCAGAUGUUUCCACACACGGCGCUGAUAGAUAGACCAACCGAUAGAUUGUAACUUUGCAGAAAUACAUUUUCACUAAUGAUCGUCCAGCCAUUCAUCUGUGACCCUUUUAUUCAGUCUGAGUACAGUAGCAGCAAAGUAUUUAUCCUGUUUCAUAAAGACCCAAAACACUUUUA